UACGGGGGGGGCAAGCGUUGUUCGGAAUUACUGGGCGUAAAGGGCUCGUAGGCGGCCAACUAAGUCGGAUGUGAAAUCCCCAGGCUUAACCUGGGAGCUGCAUCCGAUACUGGAUGGCUUGAAUCCGGGAGAGGGAUGCAGAAUUCCAGGUGUAGCGGUGAAAUGCGUAGAUAUCUGGAGGAAUACCGGUGGCGAAGGCGGCAUCCUGGACCGGCAUUGACGCUGAGUGAGCGAAAGCCAGGGGAGCAAACGGG
rnacentral:rRNA from 1 species